rnacentral:misc_RNA from 1 species
UCCGAGUUGACCCCGGCGGUCUCCUGUGACCACCCCCGAAGGACACCACAUCUCUGCGGCUUUAGCGGCCAUGUCAAACCCAGGUAAGGUUCUUCGCGUUGCAUCGAAUUAAUCCGCAUGCUCCGCCGCUUGUGCGGGCCCCCGUCAAUUCCUUUGAGUUUUAGCCUUGCGGCCGUACUCCCCAGGCGGGGCGCUUAAUGCGUUAGCUACGGCACAGGAAACCGGAGAGGCCCCCCACACCUAGCGCCCAACGUUUACAGCGUGGACUAC